GAGGAUAUAGCUCAGUGGUAGAGAGCAUGCUUAGCAUACAUGAGGUCCUGGGUUCAGUCCCCAGUACCUCU
rnacentral:tRNA from 1 species